GACGAACGCUGGCGGCGUGCUUAACACAUGCAAGUCGAACGGUGAAAGGGAGCUUGCUCCCUGGAUCAGUGGCGAACGGGUGAGUAACACGUGGGCAACCUGCCCCAGACUUCGGGAUAACGCUUCGAAAGAGGUGCUAAUACCGGAUACGAACUCCUUGGGCAUCCUUGGAGUUGGAAAGUUUUUCGGUCUGGGAUGGGCCCGCGGCCUAUCAGCUUGUUGGUGAGGUAACGGCUCACCAAGGCGACGACGGGUAGCCGGCCUGAGAGGGCGACCGGCCACACUGGGACUGGGACACGGCCCAGACGCCUACGGGAGGCAGCAGUGGGGAAUAGUGCGCAAUGGGGGAAAGCCUGACGCAGCAACGCCGCGUGAGGGAUGACGGCCUUCGGGUUGUAAACCUCUUUCAGCAGGGAAGAAGCGAAAGUGACGGUACCUGCAGAAGAAGCACCGGCUAACUACGUGCCAGCAGCCGCGGUAA
rnacentral:rRNA from 1 species